rnacentral:rRNA from 1 species
CUGGGCGUAAAGGGAGCGUAGGCGGAUAUUUAAGUGGGAUGUGAAAUACCCGAGCUUAACUUGGGAGCUGCAUUCCAAACUGGAUAUCUAGAGUGCAGGAGAGGAGAAUGGAAUUUCUAGUGUAGCGGUAGAAAUGCGUAGAGAUUAGGAAGAACACCAGUGGCGAAGGCGAUUCUCUGGACUGUAACUGACGCUGAGGCUACGAAAGCGGUGGGGAGAC